rnacentral:rRNA from 1 species
UCAAGAAACUUCCACAAUGGGCGAAAGCCUGACCCAGCAACGCCGCGUGAAGGAUGAAGUAUUUCGGUAUGUAAACUUCGUAAGAAUAGGAAGAAUAAAUGACGGUACUAUUUGUAAGGUCCGGCUAACUACGUGCCAGCAGCCGCGGUAAUACGUAGGGACCAAGCGUUGUUCGGAUUUACUGGGCGUAAAGGGCGCGUAGGCGGUGUGUCAAGUCAGUUGUGAAAUCUCCGAGCUUAACUCGGAACGGUCAACUGAUACUGUCACACUAGAGUACAGAAGGGGCAAUCGGAAUUCUUGGUGUAGCGGUGAAAUGCGUAGAUAUCAAGAGGAACACCUGAGGCGAAGGCGGGUUGCUGGGCUGAUACUGACGCUGAGGCGCGAAAGCUAGGGUAGCAAACGGGAUUAGAUACCCCCGUAGUCCCUGAGCGGGCUGGCAAGGCGCAU